UAAUGACCCAGAUCUGCUCCUGCAAACUGCCACAGAGCCCAUUAGGAGAGGGCAAACGCAGCUCGGGAAUCCAGCAGCCAAGCACGGAUGAAACAACAGCAGGGAUCAAACGACACCGAAAUCAAGGCUAUUCCUACCUGGCAGUCAUUGAUUUCCUUCCCCCUUGCUGACAUCACCGCUCCCUUCAGGUUAAUACAUGCACCACUUCCCUUAUCUCUGCUCGGGAUUACCUCAUCGCAGCAAACCCAGCGCUCUCACUCCUGCUCUGCCGAAUGCCAGCACUGUGUUUGAACUGCAACUUCCCAACCGGAGGAAGGAUUUCUCCAGUGCUGUUCCAUCAGAGCUCUGAUCUCCCCCUCACACACUGACACACGGCUCUUUUUCCUUACAGAUCAGCUCUUUGCACUCCAGUGCAUGCUCCUGCUCCACGCAGGACGGAUCGCUCCCUUUGCUUGCAAGCAGGAGCUCCUUGCACGGAUUUCACGCACGCUGCAAACUGCAAAAGUGCUGUGUGCACACACAUACACAAAACUUAGCAUGCAUGCACACCAACAUGUGCAGGAGCACUCACACAACUGCACACCUCGCUGCUGAAAUGCAACACUUCAAGGGCCCCUCAGCUCCUUUAGCUGUAUGCUAACGCGCUGCAUGCAAACCGUGCCAGUAUAAGCAAGGUGAACGCACACAUAUGCAUGUCACCUUCACAAACGUUCGUAUCCUAAUGAAUUCUGACCAGCUGCUGAUCGUUCUGCCUUAAACAAAGAGAGCUGACAUGCUUUUUAUUUCGGCUGAUCACACCUCAUCCCCAAGAACAGCACCACUGCAAGCCAGUGCCGUCUAUUGGCUACGGCAUAAAUAUUUACAUCCCUCUGCACACACACACACACACACAGACAGACACAUUUCCAACACACACACCGCAAGCAGAAGGUGAAGCUCUUUGCAGCGCUGCUGUGCGGCCGCAGGAGGCGGUGCAGGACUUUCCGCUGGAGGUGAUUACGGAGAGGAACUUAACGCGGCCGGGCGGAGGGGGAGAGCGUUUUGCCGGCGGAGCGGAGCAGGAACAAAAGCCACGGGAGCGGUGCUGAAUAGGUGUCCUCCUAAUUGUCGGGAAUCGUGUGGCUGUGUGUGGCGCGGGCGGGAGGGGCGGUGGGCAGCGGCCUCCCUCCCUCCCCCCCCCAUCCCCCCUUCCUGGGGACGGGGUGAGCUCAGAGCAGAGGGCCCCUCCGCUCCCCGCACCGCACCGGGCUGCAGAGCCGAGCGCACGGCCGCACCCCGCAACCGCGUGUGGCCACCGCGGGGACAGCGGGGGUGUAGAGAUGGGGACGGGGAACACAGAGAUGAGGACAGAGGGGAUACAGUGAUGGGGACAGCAGGGGUAAAGUGAUGGGGACAAUGGGGAUACUGCAAUGGGGACAGCGGAAAUACAGCAAUGGGGACAAUGGGGAUACUGCGAUGGGGACAGUGGGGACACAGUGAUGAGGAUACUUUGAUGGGGACAAUGGGGACACAGUGAUGGGGACAGUGGGGAUACUGCAAUGGGGACAAUGGGGACACAGUGAUGGGGACAGUGGGGAUACUGCAAUGGGGACAGCGGGGAUACAGCAGUGGGGACAAUGGGGAUACUGCAAUGGACAGAGCAGGGAUACAGAGAUAAGGACAGCAGGGAUACAGAGAUAAGGACAGCAGGGAUACAGAGAUAAGGACAGCAGGGAUACAGUGAUGUGGACAGUGAGGACACAGCGAUGGAGACAGUGAGGAUGCAGGGAUGGGGACAGAGGGACACAGUGAUGGGGAUGCAGUGAUGGGUACAGUGGGGACACAGCGAUGGGGACACAGCAAUGGGGACAGCAGGGAUACAGAGAUAAGGACAGCAGGGAUACAGUUGCGGGGACAAUGGGAAUACUGCGAUAGGAACAGCGAGGACACAGGGAUGGGGACAGAGGGACACAGCAGUGGGAACAGAGGGGAUACAGUGAUGGGGACUGUGGGAACACAGACAUGGGGACAGCAGGGACACAGUGCUGGGGCCGCCCGGUGCCCUCUCCCUGUUCCUCCCCCUGCUUUGUCUCUGGCCCCGUCUCCCAGCCAGGCAGACACAAAGAGCCUCUGACCCGGGAGGAGAAAUACGCCUUGCAGAGAAAAUCCUCCCCAGCGCCCCGAGGUGAGCUUUUGGCAGCAGGGAAUUAAAAAUAGCUGCUGUGGCUCCAAGUCGGAGGCAGCACUCCUUCCCUAAUGAGUAUAAUUAGCAGAGUGCGGAUGGAAGCGUGGCACCCCGGCUGCUCCCCGUAUCGCUCAGUGCCUCCAAGUGCCACUCAGUGACAUCUCCUCCACGCACACCAGGGAAGUGGCGUUUUCCCACAUCCAGGAGAUGUGCCUGAGCUCUUCCUCUGUCUCCACGUCAAAAUAAAGAGGUCCCAAUGGGACGAAUCCCCAGAAGCACAUCCUGAGGCUUCUGGGUCAUGCAGGAGCAAAAAGUCGGAUCUGGGACUUUUUUUCCCGCUCGCUGCUAUCCGUUCCCUCGAGCACUCAUAAAUCCUGGCUGUACCAAUGGGGGCUCAGGGGGGGUAGGCAGGCUGCAGGCCCGCAGUGCCCCACAAAUCCUCCUCCUACGUCUGUGUCCAAGCAUCAACAAGCAGAGCAUCACCUCACCAUCCCCUGCUGCUCUGCCGCCCUCCCAUGCGGACAGGCAUGGCAACAAGGCCACCUCUCCGCUCUCUGCCCCAUCGGCCUCCCCAGAGAUCUGAAUUCUGCUUAAGCCCUGAUUUCAGCCACAGGUGAGCGCAGCACUGAGGACGCAGCACGGUCCACCCAGAGCAUCCCUCCCUGAGCACGGCGCAGAAGAAACCCCUCUGAGAGCGCUGCACUGGGGAUGCGUUGGGCAGCUCAUUAGCUGCUGGGGUUAACGAGCUGCUCGGUGGGUUCCCUGCAGCCAGGGCUGGGCACGGGGUGAGCUGCGGGUGCAUCAGGUCGGGAGCGGCUGCACCUCUCGCAGCAUCUGCUCAGCUCUGACACGGUGCUCACUUGGGCUUUUUUUUUUUUUUAAUUGUCUUGAUGUCCCUCAUUUGCAUAAUCCCCACAAUGCAGCGCAGCAGGCCUUUUGCUCUGAGCUAAUAAAUAGAUGACAAAAAUAAAUGUGUCAUGUAAGAUUUGCUUCCAUUUCUUUCCCCCUUUGUGAGUGAGCUAUCACCAAGAAAUGAUGCUGGCGGAGCUGAUCUCCCAGGAGCUGUCAGCCUGGACUCAAAGCUUGCUUUGCCCAUGGAACACAACUUGGCCAGAUGUUAGAGUGAGAUGUGCAAGCUGAGAGCUGCAGCGGGAGGAGAUGUCCUCACUCCUCAGCCCCUCUGCAUUGCUCCCUAUAGAGAUGGCCCUGCAAAAUCAGCCCCAGGGCAGCGGGCAAAGGGCAUUCAGACAUCCAUUGCUGUGGGUUGCAGCGUGUCCAUGUCCAGGCAGGUGCUGGCAGUGCUCUAUUUUCUGUGAUUUUCUUCAAAAUCAGCUGUCGGUGCUUGCAGUGGAGAUGGCACCAUUUAGGAAAUGAGCUCCCUGAGCCAAGAAGAAGAGUGAUUGCUCAGCUGUGAGCAUCCAAGGGGACACCUGAGGCUGGAACAGCACCACGUGUUUCCUACAGGAUGAUUCCUCCUGCAAGGCUGUAUUUCUCACUUCGAGGAACUUGGCUGGACGGCGCCCAGGGAAGCAAGGGGAACAAAGACAAAGUCCUAAAGGAGAGCCUGCAAUCCAUCCCCAGGGCUCUGCAUGGCUGCAUGUCCUCGGGGCUGGGAUCAGGGAUGAACCACCUUACCCAUCUCCAUGCCGUGCAGGAUGUGGAUGUGAGCAGAGAGCAGCAGGACGCAUUGGGUUCCACAAGGUUUAGGAGCUGGUUACUUUGCGCCGGGUGCUGGCAGCUCUGGAGAUCAUCACUUGGGCCAUCUUUUCUCCUCCCCACAGCCCUGUGAGUCAGGAGGAUUCUCAGCUCUUAUAUAAAAGCAUCUCCAACUGUGUUGUUUGUGCCUGAAAACGCGAAUCCUAACAGGUAGGAGCUAGAAGAGAAAUAAAGACCUGAUAAUAUACGAGCUUCCUUUAUUUUUUUUCUUUUCUUUUAGAGCCCUGGCCUGCUUUAAAUCAC
ensembl:lncRNA